rfam:Ovis aries breed Texel chromosome 5, whole genome shotgun sequence.
UCCCUGCUGGCCCAGUGGUUAGGACUCUGCACUUCCACUGCAGGGAGCAGGGAGCGCAGGUUCAAACCCUGGUCAGGGAA